UGGGGGAUAUUGCACAAUGGGGGGAAACCCCGUGAUGCAGCGACGCCGCGUGGGUGAGGAAGUAUUUCGGUAUGUAAAGCCCUAUCAGCAGGGAAGAAGAUGACAGUACCUGACUAAGAAGCCCCGGCUAACUACGUGCC
rnacentral:rRNA from 1 species